rnacentral:rRNA from 1 species
UACGUAGGUGGCGAGCGUUGUCCGGAUUUACUGGGCGUAAAGAGCGCGCAGGCGGUCGUGCAAGUCGCGUGUGAAAGCCCCCGGCUCAACUGGGGAGGGUCACGCGAUACUGCUCGACUCGAAGGCAGGAGAGGGAAGUGGAAUUCCCGGUGUAGUGGUGAAAUGCGUAGAUAUCGGGAGGAACACCAGUGGCGAAGGCGACUUCCUGGACCGGCAUUGACGCUGAGGCGCGAAAGCUAGGGGAGCAAACGGG